AUUGAACGCUGGCGGCAGGCCUAACACAUGCAAGUCGAACGGUAACAGGAAACAGCUUGCUGUUUCGCUGACGAGUGGCGGACGGGUGAGUAAUGUCUGGGAAACUGCCUGAUGGAGGGGGAUAACUACUGGAAACGGUAGCUAAUACCGCAUAACGUCGCAAGACCAAAGAGGGGGACCUUCGGGCCUCUUGCCAUCGGAUGUGCCCAGAUGGGAUUAGCUAGUAGGUGGGGUAACGGCUCACCUAGGCGACGAUCCCUAGCUGGUCUGAGAGGAGGACCAGCCACACUGGAACUGAGACACGGUCCAGACGCCUACGGGAGGCAGCAGUGGGGAAUAUUGCACAAUGGGCGCAAGCCUGAUGCAGCCAUGCCGCGUGUAUGAAGAAGGCCUUCGGGUUGUAAAGUACUUUCAGCGGGGAGGAAGGGAGUAAAGUUAAUACCUUUAUUCAUGGACGUUACCCGCAGAAGAAGCACCGGCGAACUCCGU
rnacentral:rRNA from 1 species